rnacentral:pre_miRNA from 1 species
GCCUGCUGUUCUAAUUAUGUCUUCAUGGACCUCCUUGCCAUGGGCUAACUUGAGUAUCUCUGGAGCAUGCCAAGGAGAUCCAUAAAGAUGUUAUUAGGAGCGGGU